GGGCGUCUCUUUCUCAUUACGAGUGGAGGCGCACCUACAGCGUACACGCUGAUACCCGAAAGAUGGUGAACUAUGCCUGGCCAGGACGAAGCCAGGGGAAACCCUGGUGGAGGUCCGCAGCGAUUCUGACGUGCAAAUCGAUCGUCAGAGCUUGGUAUAGGGGCGAAAGACCAAUCGAACCAUCUAGUAGCUGGUUCCCUCUGAAGUUUCCCUCAGGAUAGCUUGCGCUCGGUUGAGACGAGUCUCAUCCGGUAGAGCGAAUGAUUAGAGGCCUUGGGGUCGAAACGACCUCAACCUAUUCUCAAACUCCAAAUAGAUGAGAUCCCCGGCUUGCUUGAAAGUGAAGCCGGGACUCGGAUCAGAGUGCCAAGUGGGCCAAUUUU
rnacentral:rRNA from 1 species